rnacentral:lncRNA from 12 species
UCUGAACAUCUAAGAUCAAUUUGAAUAUUUUCUGUGAUGAAUCUGUCGCAUUGAAAAUAACAACAAACACGGAAAUUGAAAGCGAUGGGAUGCCUGUUUUGACACCUGUGACAGUGUUUAAUGACACGCUGUCAAUGGAUUGGCUGGAUGUGGUUUGAAUGCAGGAGCAUUCCCAGGGAGACCAGGACAGGCAGCGAGGCUGGGGGAGCAUCUGCUGCUGCAGGGAUGGGAUGGAGCAGGGAUGGGAUGGAGCAGGGAUGGGAUGGAGCAGGGAUGGGAUGGAGCAGGAUGGGAUGGAGCAGGGGUGCAGGGGUGCUGCAGGGGCUGGGUGCUGUACCCAGGGCAGUGACACUUUUCCCUGCAGUGACACUUCACCCUGCAGUGUCACCUUCCCUGAUGGGAUGGAGCAGGGAUGGGAUGGAGCAGGGAUGGGAUGGAGCAGGGAUGGGAUGGAGCAGGAUGGGAUGGAGCAGGGGUGCAGGGGUGCUGCAGGGGCUGGGUGCUGUACCCAGGGCAGUGACACUUUUCCCUGCAGUGACACUUCGCCCUGCAGUGUCACCUUCCCCGCAGUGUCACCUUCCCCGCAGUGACACUUUGUCCCGCAGUGUCACCUUCCCCGCAGUGACCCCCUCCCUGCAGUGCCACCCUGUCCCCCAGCUGUCCCCGCCCCUGCAGUGCCCAGCCCGUGCCUGUGUCACGCUGCCCCCUCCCUCCUCUCCAGCUCCCGCUGUUCCCGGGGCUGGUUUGGGUUAUCUGGGAGGCAGAGCAGUGAGGCAGAGCUGCAGAGCAGAGCAGUAGUAAACAGGAUCCUGCAGCCUGAGAAAAGUGCUGACUUACAGAAUGCAGCACUCCACCUCCCAAAAAAGCCCCGCUAAUGGGUUUGUUUCCGUGUUGUCUUUGCAGGGCUGGGGCUGAUGAAUCUCGGCAGGUUCAGCUCUGGAAUCACAGCUAAACUCAUGUGCUCGUGCCAGCCCAGGCAUCUGAAUUACCCAGGCUUGGUUCCUGGGGUUUCAGCACUGACUUGUGUUUGUCUGAACGAGAUCUGGGGAGCUCUACAGUUGAGUAAACAGGAUUUUUAAUUCCACCACUGCUAAUAUCACAGGAGCUCUACAGUUGAGUAAACAGGAUUUUUACUUCCACCACUGCUAAUAUCACUGGAGCUCUACAGUUGAGUAAACAGGAUUUUUAAUUCCACCACUGCUAAUAUCACAGCACUUGUAACUGAAAUCUGUGCAGCCAGCAGCAGAGCAAACCUGGGAGUGCUGCUGCCCCAGCCCUGCUGGGCUCAGGCUCCCCUUCCUCCAGCCCCUGGGCUGUCUGAUUUGGGCUGCCACUGUUACGUAACAUCUCACUCUGGCCUGCAGUUUGCAAGGUCAGGGCCAGGUUUUACCUGAGCAGGAGCCUGGGUGGGGACUGGGAGCCCUGGUGGAACGUGAGCGUGGUGUCGCGCGGGGAUGGGGAAGAGCUGGCUGCAGCUGCUGCCAGCUGUGAGUGUUUGGGGAGAGUCACGCCAGAGCUGGGCCUCUGCUUACAAAGAGGAGUCAAAGAGCUUGGCUGAAUUCCAGGAGCUGCUCUGCUGCUCAGUGAGCUUUCCAACAUCAGCUCAUCUCUGGUGGCUUCACCAAACACGGGCAGGGCAGCUGGGGACCUUGAAACACAGGGAAAGCAACGAAACCUGCUUGUGGGUAAUUUGCCUUGACAACACGUAAUUGUGAAUCUGGGACAGGCUGGAAUUUAUCAGCUCUGAGUCAUCUUCCAUUAAUUCCACCUGAGGUUUGCUGAACUUUGGGGUGUAUCACAGCUGUCCCUGGUUUUCAGUGGAUUCCUGCAAUGUUUGAAAGCUGCUGUGGCACUGAAGGCUCUGGACACCAGAGCUCCAGCCCUGCUCCUCGUGCUCCUCAUUCCUGACUUAGUGGUGCUGUCCCUCUGCCCCUAUCCAGGGUCUUGCCAAAGGUAAAGUGACGCAGAGCAGUUUCUGGCUGCAGGAAUGUGAAGGGUUAAAAAUGCACAGUAAAUAACAGCAACAGCAACACUCACCUGUGUGAGGAGAGCAGGAGGACCUGUGUGGGGACGUGCUCAUCGUGGGCUGAGCCUGAGCUCACCAGACUCUUCUUCUGAAAGGUAAAACUCAGCUGAAUUGUGAUGCUCUUUCUCCUGGGGUCACUCUGCAGUACUGGAAGGGAGGGAGAUGCUUCUCAUCUCUUCUGAGGCUGAAGCUGGAGUUGUUUUGUAGUAGAAAAACAAUGACAAUAUUAAUAAAAUGGCUUUUAUUAAAAGCCCAAACAAAUGUGGCAAGUAUACUCUGCCUGCUCCAUGUAUUGCAGUGUCUGCUGAGCUGCUCUCACUAAAAAUGGGCAGAAAUUUAUAAGGACUGUGUUUGUUUAAAGUGUGGGAAAAAAGCUUAAUAUCAAUUUAAGGUAUGGGAUUUUUCUUCAGCUGUAGUUGAUGGAAGCAGUUUACUGAGCUUUGCGCGAGAACCUCCAGCCUGUGGAUUCCAGUGUCAGAGCUCCUUGGUACGUGGGGAGCUCAGCUGGGCUCUGGGGCGUGGUGAGCAGCUCGGGGGCUCAGGCUGGGCUCUGGGGGCUCCCUGCCCGGGCAGUGCCUCUCUGCUCCGCGGGGGUUUCUCUCAGAGCCGCUCGUGGCAGGGAGAGGGCACAGGCACAGCCCGCAGGUCACACAGAGGUGGGGCCCGAGGGACCCUGGAGCUCAUCUUGUGCCAGCCCUGCCCUGGGUGCCCCCAGCCCGUCCAGCCUGGCCCUGGACACGGCAGGGGUGGGGAAUGGCGUUCCUGCUGCUGGGCGGGUGUGCAGGUGUGUGCAGGUGUGUGCAGGUGUGUGCAGUGUGCAGGUGUGUGCAGGUGUGUGCAGUGUGCAGGUGUGUGCAGUGUGCAGGUGUGUGCAGGGUGUGGGACCCUCCAGCCCCGUUCCUGCUGCUGGGCAGGGGUGUACAAGGUGUGCAGGGUAUGUGCAAGGGUGUGCAGGUGUACAGCUGUGCAGGUGUGUGCAGGUGUGUAAGGUUGUGCAGGGUGUGUGCAAGGGUGUGCAGGUGUACAGCUGUGCAGGUGUGUGAGGUUGUGCAGGGUGUGUGCAGGGUGUGUGCAGGGGUGUACAGGUGUGUGUAGGGGUGUGCAGGUGUACAGCUGUGCAGGUGUGUGCAGGUGUGUGAGGUUGUGCAGGGUGUGUGCGGGUGUGCAGGUGUGUGUAGGGGUGUACAGGUGUACAGCUGUGCAGGUGUGUGCAGGUGUGUGAGGUUGUGCAGGGUGUGUGCAGGGUAUGGGACCCUCCAGCUGCCUCUCUGCUCAAAUUCUAAGCAGGCAAUUCACACUGGUGUAGGAUUUCUGCCAGGAGCCUCAAUCCCAUUCUGUGCCCGCCUACCACAGAACAGGAAAUGCCUUUUCAGGUUUGUCACCCAGGAUUUGGUCCAGAGUGACUCGCUCUGACCGUGUGGGAAUUGCAGUGAUGGGAGCUGCCCCAGCAAUUCCUGGUCCU